rnacentral:rRNA from 1 species
AUUGAACGCUGGCGGCAGGCCUAACACAUGCAAGUCGAGCGGAGCGGCGGACGGGUGAGUAAUGUCUGGGAAUCUGCCUGGUAGAGGGGGAUAACUUCUGGAAACGGUCGCUAAUACCGCAUACUAUCGGAUGAACCUAUGUGGGAUUAGCUAGGUGGUGGGGUAAAGGCCUACCAAGGCGACGAUCCGUAGCUGGUCUGCGAGGAUGAUCAGGCAAACUGGGACGGGGAAACGGGCCAGACUCCUACGGGAGGCAGCAGGGGGGAAUAUUUGACAAUGGGCGAAAGGCUGAUUGAGCCAAGCCGGGGUGGUGAAGAAGGGCUUUGGAUUGGAAAAGUACUUAAGGCGGGAGGCGUUACCAGCAGAAGAAGCACCGGCUAACUCCGUGCCAGCAGCCGCGGUAAUUC